GGAUUUGUAAGCAAGCAAAGUACUUUCUGCAGCAUCUUUCCUCUCUGUCCCAGUCUUAAACUCAGCAAGGUACCUGUGGUAAUCACCCUUCAUUUUGAGGUAAAAGACUUUACUUUCGGGAGAUGCAGCAGAAGGGAUGAGGUUGGACUCGAGGAGGUUCAAAAUCCCAUCACAGAUCUUGCUGAGCUCGGUCUCAAUCUUUCCCCUGUACUCCUUUAUAAUAGCAACGUGGUCCUCAUUGCCUCUGCUCUCCUCCUUCUGCUCGAUGGAGGAUAUGAUCCUCCACGAAGCCCUCCUCGCCCCAAUCACGUUCUUGUAUGCCACAGAGAGAAGAUUCCUCUCCUCCACA
rnacentral:lncRNA from 1 species